ensembl:rRNA 5S_rRNA 5S ribosomal RNA
GCUUACGGCCACACCGCCUGGUUAAUGCCCGAUCUCGUUUGAUCUCGGAAGCUAGGAUAGGUUGGGCCUGGUUAGUACUUGGAUGGGAGACCGCCUGGGAUUACCAGGUGCUGUAAGCU